rnacentral:rRNA from 1 species
ACGUAGGAGGCGAGCGUUAUCCGGAUUCACUGGGCGUAAAGCGCGUGCAGGCGGUUCGGUAAGUUGGGCGUGAAAUCUCCCGGCUCAACUGGGGGAGGUCGUUCCAUACUACCGGACUUGAGAGCGAUAGAGGAAAAUGGAAUUCCCGGUGUAGUGGUGAAAUGCGUAGAUAUCGGGAGGAACACCAGUGGCGAAGGCGAUUUUCUGGAUCGGUACUGACGCUCAGACGCGAAAGCGAGGGGAGUAAACGG